GACGAACCGUGCGAACGUUAUUCGGAAUCACUGGGCUUAAAGCGCGCGCAGGCGGGGCGGCACGUCGGUCGCUGAAAUCCCCCGGCUCAACCGGGGAACGGGCGCCGAAACGACCGCCCUGGAGGGGCGUAGGGGGAUCGGGAACUUCCGGUGGAGCGGUGAAAUGCGUUGAGAUCGGAAGGAACGCCCGCGGCGAAAGCGCGGUCCUGGACGCCUACUGACGCUGAGGCGCGAAAGCCAGGGGAGCAAACGGG
rnacentral:rRNA from 1 species